rnacentral:misc_RNA from 1 species
AAGUCGUAACAAGGUCUCCGUUGGUGAACCAGCGGAGGGAUCAUUACCGAGUUUACAACUCCCAAACCCCUGUGAACAUACCUUAAUGUUGCCUCGGCGGAUCAGCCCGCGCCCCGUAAAACGGGACGGCCCGCCAGAGGACCCAAACUCUAAUGUUUCUUAUUGUAACUUCUGAGUAAAACAAACAAAUAAAUCAAAACUUUCAACAACGGAUCUCUUGGUUCUGGCAUCGAUGAAGAACGCAGCAAAAUGCGAUAAGUAAUGUGAAUUGCAGAAUUCAGUGAAUCAUCGAAUCUUUGAACGCACAUUGCGCCCGCUGGUAUUCCGGCGGGCAUGCCUGUUCGAGCGUCAUUUCAACCCUCAAGCCCCCGGGUUUGGUGUUGGGGAUCGGCUCUGCCUUCUGGCGGUGCCGCCCCCGAAAUACAUUGGCGGUCUCGCUGCAGCCUCCAUUGCGUAGUAGCUAACACCUCGCAACUGGAACGCGGCGCGGCCAUGCCGUAAAACCCCAACUUCUGAAUGUUGACCUCGGAUCAGGUAGGAAUACCCGCUGAACUUAA